AAACAGAUGCUAAAGCCCCCUACACAGAGCCUCAGUGCUUCGAUCUGAUAGACAACAGGUAGGUGGCCAGUCCCCACUGGAGAGCAACCGAGCAGGGCCAAGAGGUUCAAGGAGCUAUUUUAUUGUUAGCACUGGAUAUAACUGUAAAACUGAAAAAGAGGCCAAGAUAUGGUGAUAUAGACUGUAUUCCAUCCACUUGGAAGACUGAGGCUGGAAGAUUCUGAGGGCAAGGCAAAGAACAAAACAAAAAAGCUGAAGGAAGAUCAGGUCUGUGUUCCACCUGUGUGCCUGAAGAAGUGUGACGAGACUGUUGGAUACCCUGGGACUUGUGAGCCACCAUGGCCUGAAUUUAGAGGGGGGAUGCCCAUCCCCCACUUUGCCAGGAUCUCAUCAGGAAGACAAGCUCAGCUGCUCAGCGGUUUUGGCUUCUUGCAGGAAGCUGCAGAUGGGGCACACAGUAGACUCAGGAAAACAACUCAGUUUUGGAUGCAGAACCUCAGCAUAAGAGACUCCAUUUUGGUUUGUCUGGUUGAGCCUGGUGUAGAAGGUCAGUCUAGACCUGUGGCCUCCUGUGUAGUUUCUUUAACAGGACUUUGGGAGAUAAUGAAGAUGGCACGUGAGGGUGGAAACCUCACCAAUGCGGAUUGGUCCCUGUCCUAGGGUCUGAAACUGGAUGACCAUCUCUCACCCUCCCUGCCCCACUUCAAGCCAAGCUGGGGAAGUUGUAACUGGAAGAUCAUUGGAAGCAACAGGUUUACGUCUGAGCAAGAAGGGUCUGCAUCUCCCACGGCCAACCCAAUGCCAGGCACAGCCAGCUGCCAAUGCUUGAU
rnacentral:lncRNA from 1 species